UGGGGAAUAUUGCACAAUGGGCGCAAGCCUGAUGCAGCCAUGCCGCGUGUGUGAAGAAGGCCUUCGGGUUGUAAAGCACUUUCAGCGAGGAGGAAGGUGGUGAGCUUAAUACGCUCAUCAAUUGACGUUACUCGCAGAAGAAGCACCGGCUAACUCCGUGCCAGCAGCCGCGGUAAUACGGAGGGUGCAAGCGUUAAUCAGGAAUUACUGGGCGUAAAGCGCACGCAGGCGGUUUGUUAAGUCAGAUGUGAAAUCCCCGGGCUCAACCUGGGAACUGCAUUUGAAACUGGCAAGCUAGAGUCUCGUAGAGGGGGGUAGAAUUCCAGGUGUAGCGGUGAAAUGCGUAGAGAUCUGGAGGAAUACCGGUGGCGAAGGCGGCCCCCUGGACGAAGACUGACGCUCAGGUGCGAAAGCGUGGGGAGCAAAACAGGAUUAGAUACCCCUGGUAGUCCACGCUGUAAAACGAUGUCGAUUUUGGAGGUUGUGCCCCUUGAGGCGUGG
rnacentral:rRNA from 1 species